rnacentral:misc_RNA from 1 species
AAAAAGGCGAAUGAAUGCAGUUGAUAUUCAUUCCCACUGUCCCCCAUCCACAAGGAUCACAAAAAGAAAGACAACUCAGGUGAAGGGAUAAAAGAAAACAUCCUUUCACCAAAACAUUCAAACAGAGAUGGCAACAACCGUACGGCAUCCAGAUCUUCCUUCCAGGCCUGAUCAAGAGGAACCGAUGUUUUUUGACCUUGACCAGUAGUCAUAUCCCUUCUACCAAUGGUCCUCAGCAUAUUCUCGUUUUGCUGCAAACCAUGUGAUGCUGAAGAUACACCAGUUUCUGUAACCCUAGGGGUUACAGCAUAUCCAACAGCUGGUCCUUGUGUGCUUACUGGCAGAGAAUUUGCCGUCAUUGAACUAAUUGGACCAUCUGUCAUUAAUCUCUUGGGUGGAGGCUGGGUCAUCAUGUUGUUCAAGCUUGCUUUCCGUUUGCCCGACGACAAUGUAGUUGAGACUUUCCAUUUACUCUUCAAGAAUGUGCGAGUAGAUGGAGAUAGUGAAGCUGGAAGCAACUUGAAGCGCUCGUAGAUGCAUAAACCAGCAGCACACAUCAAGGCUCCAUAUACACGCCAAGCUUCAAACCUCUUCAUUUCAUUUUUUUGCUUCUCGGGCUGCAUUUCGGGUUCUAGUAAUUGCAAAUAAGCCUCAAGAUUUGGCAGCACAAGUAGGCGAACCACCCCAGGUCCAAGAGCUGCGAGCCCUUGAAUUGCUCCAUAAUGUUGUGGCAGCGCUUUAGUUGGAUCCAGAAAAGCAUGCAGCAAAGUACUGGUGACACGUGACUGGAGAUUGUGGUACACACGACCAUAUCUCUUGCAUAUUAAAGCAAUCAAUGUAGCUGAGAAGUCCCUAA